rnacentral:misc_RNA from 1 species
AUUAAGGUUUAGUAGUGGUAGUAGUAGUAGUUGUUGUAUUAGACUACUAAGUGAGUGUUUUGAGUGAAUGCUUGUACUGCCCUAUAAAUCAUAGUUUUCUACUGCUGGUUAAAUUCUUUGGCAAGAACGGGAGAAUCAAUUAUUUUUGUGUAUGUGUGUGAAAGGGAGAGGGAGAGAAUGUGUUUCUUUUAAUUUUCACUUGCUG